rnacentral:lncRNA from 1 species
GGUGGCCUGGUUCCUGGUGUUGGAGGUGUCCCAGGUGUUGGAGGUCCUGCAGCAGCAGCCAAAGCAGCAGCCAAGGCAGCCAAAUUUGGUGAGUCAGCCUGGGGAGCCCCUCAGGCUCCCUACCAGCCCUGGUGUGGCUCUGACCCAUGCAGGGGAUGCUGGGCAUGGGCACCCAGGCCUGGCACAUGAUCCCACACGAGCACAGGAUCUCUCACCCCUUUCCCGCAGGUGCCGGGGUUGGAGGGGUGCCAGGGGUGGUGCCUGGCGUGGGCGGAGUGCCCGGAGUGGCACCCGGUGUUGGUGGCGUGCCCGGAUUGGUGCCAGGGGUGGGAGUACCUGGAACUGGCAUCCUUCCCGGGGCAGGCAUCCCCCAAGUAGGGGUGCAGCCUGGUGCUAAACCUCCCAAAUUCGGUGUUCCUGGGGUUGGAGUCCCAGGGGUUGGUGGCCUCCCAGGUGGCCUUGGCGUCGGUGGGCUCGGAGUUGGUGGCCUCGGUGAGUGAUGCUGGUCCCGCUGUGGGGCUCCAGGGCUGGGCUGCAGGGAGCAGCAGCAGCAGCAGCAGCAGAGAGCUGGCAGAGCCAUGAAAAGGAAAGGGAGUCUGUGGGUCACUUCUGUCCCCUCCCAGUCUCACAGCACAAUCCCACCCUGCACUGUCACUGUCCCCUGUUGUGUUUGUCACCUGCCCUGUUCCCAGGGGGUGAUCCAAAGGAAUUGCCAUUGCUGAGCAGGGACUGAGGGCCACAGCCCCAGCCUUGCCCAUGCCAUGGGAACAGGGGAUGGUACUGUACCCUGUCCCCAACGUGUGAAGAUGCAGGUCCCUCCUGGGACCCUCUGGGCCCCUCCUGAAGGGUCUGGGUGUGGCCCUGGGGCAGUGAGUCCGGGCAGGGGCUGCCCUGGUGCCCCCCUCUGACUUAGGACUCUUGUAUCCAGGAGCUGCUGGGAAACCUCCCAAGCCAGGUAAGGGACAGCCAGAGGGGCUGGAGGAGUGACUCCAGUGCCUGUCCCCAUCCACAUUCCCAUGGCUGUGCUCACGCUCCCCACCCUCACUGGGGCUCACCCACCUGCAGGUUUUGGUGCUGGGGGGCUGCAGCCAGGUGAGUGCUGCACUUUGGGGCUGGCCUGGCAGUGUGUCCCCUAUCCUGCCACACUCGUCCCCGCUUGCUGUCCCCGUGCUGCUGCCAUUCCCUGCUGAGCACCAGCUGCCUGGGAGAGCACUGGGAAGCCAGAGAGGUGCCAGGGUGGGGACGGCGGCUUUUGCAUCAGCUCCUGUCCCUGGAGUGAGCACGGGAUCCCAGCCAGGCUGUCCCCAGUGCACGCUAGAGUGGCACCGCUGUCACCGGCUGUCACUGGCUGUUGCUUUUUCCCCAGGCGUUGGAGGUCCCGGCUUCGGCGUAUCACCGCUAUUUCCAGGUACCACCCACCGCCAGCUC